UACGUAGGGGGCUAGCGUUGUCCGGAUUUAUUGGGCGUAAAGAGCGUGUAGGCGGCCAGGUAGGUCUGCUGUGAAAACUCGAGGCUCAACCUCGAGACGUCGGCGGAAACCAUCUGGCUAGAGUCCGGAAGAGGAGAGUGGAAUUCCUGGUGUAGCGGUGAAAUGCGCAGAUAUCAGGAAGAACACCCGUGGCGAAGGCGGCUCUCUGGGACGGUACUGACGCUGAGACGCGAAAGCGUGGGGAGCGAAACAGG
rnacentral:rRNA from 1 species